rnacentral:lncRNA from 1 species
AGAAUCAGCUUUAAUCAGUGAUUUCACCCAAAGCAGCUGUGGGCUGUUUGCUGGGAGACGCUCCCAAGGGCUGUUUAGGUUUGCAGCUGGGACAAAUCAGCUGCAAUCAGCUCCAAUCAGCUCCCCAUAAAGCUCUCACUUCCCCGGCUCUGGGGAAGAGUUUGGGCUUUGUGCUCUGAGCUGCAUAUGUCUCUGAACUUGGAUGGUGCUUUUUCUGGUGUUGGAGGGAAGCAGAACAGAAGUGUGAUUCCCCAAGCUUUCAAGGGUUCUGGUGGGCACAGCAUUCUUACAGUUUUGGGAUGAUGAGUCAUAUAAAUAUUGCCUCUGUAUUUUUGCAGGAAGAGGAGAGGAUGCUCUUCCAGCUUGGCACUAGCCAGGAAAGUCCCAUAGACCCAGCUCCGGAGCACUUGCCAGCAUACAGGUAUUAUUUUCUCAGGCACAAGUCUAGGCACAGGAUUUUUUGUAUUGCUAUUCCUUCUUCAAAAUCAUGAAGCAUAUCAAAUCUCUUGAUAAAGCAGUUCUUAAAAAAAACAGUUAUAAGGAAUAAAUUUCUUUCCUUAAUCUUAAAUUUAGCCUGA